rnacentral:rRNA from 1 species
UUGAACGCUGGCGGCAGGCCUAACACAUGCAAGUCGAGCGGAUGAAGGGAGCUUGCUCCUGGAUUCAGCGGCGGACGGGUGAGUAAUGCCUAGGAAUCUGCCUGGUAGUGGGGGAUAACGUCCGGAAACGGGCGCUAAUACCGCAUACGUCCUGAGGGAGAAAGUGGGGGAUCUUCGGACCUCACGCUAUCAGAUGAGCCUAGGUCGGAUUAGCUAGUUGGUGGGGUAAAGGCCUACCAAGGCGACGAUCCGUAACUGGUCUGAGAGGACGAUCAGUCACACUGGAACUGAGACACGGUCCAGACUCCUACGGGAGGCAGCAGUGGGGAAUAUUGGACAAUGGGCGAAAGCCUGAUCCAGCCAUGCCGCGUGUGUGAAGAAGGUCUUCGGAUUGUAAAGCACUUUAAGUUGGGAGGAAGGGCAGUAAGUUAAUACCUUGCUGUUUUGACGUUACCAACAGAAUAAGCACCGGCUAACUUCGUG